UACAGAGGUCUCAAGCGUUGUUCGGAUUCAUUGGGCGUAAAGGGUGCGUAGGUGGCAUGGUAAGUCUGCUGUGAAAGUCCAGGGCUCAACCCUGGAAGGCCGGUGGAAACUGUCGGGCUAGAGUCCGGAAGAGGCGAGUGGAAUUCCUGGUGUAGCGGUGGAAUGCGCAGAUAUCAGGAGGAACACCAAUAGCGAAGGCAGCUCGCUGGGACGGUACUGACGCUAAGGCGCGAAAGCGUGGGGAGCAAACAGG
rnacentral:rRNA from 1 species